UUUCUCCCUUUUCGUAUUAUAUCUCCUCCUUAAUCGUGCAGCGUCACCUCGCCAACCACCAGCAACCACCGUGCGCAGCACCAGUGCCGCCGCCCAGUACCGCCGCUGCCGCACUCUGACCGCCGGCCGCUCUUUCUCUCCUUUUUGGCGGAGAAUUCUUUGUGGGCGACUUUUGAAUUCGUUAAAGUGGCCUAUCAGUUUGUUUACACAAGUCUCUAAGGAUCAAUAAGCAUUGUCCAUCUACAGGUUUGAAGAUGAUGCAUCAUGGGGAUCGGGAUUAGAGAGCUUGUAUUUAGUUUCGUUUUGCUAAGUAACUUGGUUUGUUAAUUUAGACUUUAAACUUAUCGUACUAUUUAUAUUCCCUUAAUUUCGUUGGUUGGUUUUUGGGAUUAAACCUGUAAUUGAUUAUUUAUAAACCUAAAGUUAGUUUUAUGU